UACAGAGGGUGCAAGCGUUGUUCGGAAUUAUUGGGCGUAAAGGGUGCGUAGGCGGUGCGGUAAGUCUCUUGUGAAAUCUCCGGGCUCAACUCGGAGCCUGCAAGGGAAACUGCCGUGCUUGAGUGUGGGAGAGGUGAGUGGAAUUCCCGGUGUAGCGGUGAAAUGCGUAGAUAUCAGGAAGAACACCCGUGGCGAAGGCGGCUCUCUGGGACGGUACUGACGCUGAGACGCGAAAGCGUGGGGAGCGAACAGG
rnacentral:rRNA from 1 species